AUAGCUCAGUUGGUAGAGCGGAGGA
rnacentral:piRNA from 4 species